AUGAGUUGUUGAUUCCUUCAGCUAAGGUUGCUAAAGCAUUCUCUGGUAGAUGUAGGAGGACCUUCGCAUCAUCCAAACCUUAUGUAUUUUUUGUAUUUGUUAUCGAGAGUGUCAACUAUAUCAUAUGAUUCAGCGGAGAAAAAAUGAUUCUCUAACAGCGAUAUUUUUUUAUGCGGACCUUCUUGUCGCAAAAUAUUACCGGUAAUAUUAUCGACUAAUUGCAAUAAUAGUUGAUAAACAGGUAACUUUGUGUAGAUGAUUGACUAGAAGUUGGCAAUAUACAUUUGUUUUCAACUUACACUGCGGUCUUUGAAGCGGAACCCAAUUUAAUAUAUAGUAUUCAUAAGAUCUCUUCGUUCUUGUCAAUAGUAGUUUCGAUAGUAUGGUACGUUUUCUGAGUUUCGAACACGAAUUCUUUAUUUUUUAAGCUUUUGUUUCAUCUAGCUGCAGGGGAAGAAAGAUAUCGGCCUCCUUGGAGAGCCGCGUUUUUCUUUGAUAUUCUGUCUAUCCCAUACAUGGCCAGCGAUGAAGUUUCCAUUACAAACAACUAUGAUCAUUUUAAAGACCAUGAAGAGUAACUCAAACAAAGGAGCUACGUCAUAAAACGAAUCAUAAGUGCCUUGAUGUGAGCAGUUCCAAAGAAUUUACCGAAGGAUUAGUUAUCACUGAUUGCAAUGGAAAAAAAACGCAAAGAUGGAGUAUGGAGUCUGUACCCUGGAAGUGACUGUGAGAAAAGACACAUUCGGAAUUUUUAGUGUAAUUACAUGACUGACAUAAUAACCCAAUCAAUGAAGAACUAUGUUUGUAUUUUUAUGACUACUUCAAUAAUAAAAUUCUAUAAUAAAU